rnacentral:rRNA from 1 species
UAGUCCACGCCGUAAACGAUGGGCACUAGGUGCUUGGGGGAGCGACCCCCCGAGCGCCGGCGCUAACGCAUUAAGUGCCCCGCCUGGGGAGUACGACCGCAAGGUUGAAACUCAAAGGAAUUGACGGGGGCCCGCACAAGCGGUGGAGCAUGUGGUUUAAUUCGACGCAACGCGAAGAACCUUACCUAGGCUUGACAUGCAUGGGAAAGCCUCUGGAAACAGAGGCCCCUCUUCGGAGCUCAUGCAC